CAGUGAGGAAUCUUGCGCAAUGGGGGAAACCCUGACGCAGCAACGCCGCGUGAGUGAGGAAGGCUUUCGGGUCGUAAAGCUCUGUCGGAUGGGAAGAAAUGGUUGGAAGCUAAUACCUUCCAUCCUUGACGGUACCAUCAGAGGAAGCACCGGCUAACUCCGUGCCAGCAGCCGCGGUAAUACGGGGGGUGCAAGCGUUGUUCGGAAUCAUUGGGCGUAAAGCGCGCGCAGGCGGCUUGGUAAGUCAGAUGUGAAAUCCCUGGGCUUAACCCAGGAAGUGCAUUUGAUACUGCCUCGCUAGAGUACGGGAGAGGAAAGUGGAAUUCCUGGUGUAGAGGUGAAAUUCGUAGAUAUCAGGAGGAACACCGGUGGCGAAGGCGACUUUCUGGCCCGAUACUGACGCUCAGGCGCGAAAGCGUGGGGAGCAAACAGGAUUAGA
rnacentral:rRNA from 1 species